rnacentral:misc_RNA from 1 species
AAGUCGUAACAAGGUUUCCGUAGGUGAACCUGCGGAAGGAUCAUUAUCGUGGGGCUUCGGCCCCGUCGAGAUAGCACCCUUGCCUUUAUGAGUACCUUGGUUCCCUCCCCCGUACCCUCGGGGAGCGGGAGGGACCUCGUCUGUUCCCCCAACGGUAACCCCGCGGGGACACGAAACACGCUGUAAGCACCUGUAACAGUCUGAUAAACAAACAAAAAAUCAAAACUUUCAACAACGGAUCUCUUGGUUCUG